GCAGUCUGAAAAGGCAGCUUGGAGCAAUGCAUCUUGGGAGGCUAUCGUUGGACUGCUAAAGGCAGUCUGAAAAGGCUGCUUGGAGCAAUGCUGCCUCUCUCAGCAGGAGAGGCCAGUCCUUGAAGGAGGUGGCCAUUUGGAGUUUGUUGGGAGGAUAUGUGGAAAAUAAAAACAGUAUCUGACUCAGAACGGAUGCUUCAGAAGGCAGAAUACAGUCGGAUUCCCGGCUCAUUCGGUGGGAAACAGAUCACAUGAAACAAAGAUGGCAGCGCUGGGAGCUAGCGGUGCCACCCGUAGUCUGAUCUCCAGGGUUUGAAAACAUUUAAUCAACUCCCCUCCCAGGACAUUUGAUUUCUGUGCACUUUUGCACUUCUGGGCUCCAUCUGGGGAAAGAAGUGCCAAAACCGCCACGCAAAAGGCUACCCUGGAGGUAUUUUCAGUUGGACUAGAAGCAGCAGGAAAUGAUGCUGCAAUAGGCUGGUGUGUGCCUUGCAUGGAGAGGAGAGCAGCAUACAUGCCAAUCCCGCAGAAGGAGACCACAGCCCAAGAAUGAGUCGAUGCACCGGCAAAUCAAAGCCCAAAGCAGACUAACUUGGCCACAAGUGUGAAUGCAGCAGAAUCCCUAGUACCAUGGACCUUUCUUACAUUGCUUUGUGUGAACUAUGGAUCGAACGCUUAUUCUCAAAAUGCAAACAAGUCUUAGCAGCAAAGUCAAAGGUAGUAACAGAUUAGAACAUUGAUGUAUAUCAAGACGCCCUAGUCUGUGAGUUUAUGAAGGGUCUCUGUUGGAUUUGGUUACUAUGGCCCCCAAAACAGUAAAAUAGAAAAGCUGAGUGUAACUGUACUGUAAGAGCCUGCAGAUAAUGUGCUGUGUGUUGGGUAAAAUCUGGGAAUUACUCUCAAACUUGGGAUCUGCCAAGACCAAGUGGGGGACUUUUGAGUAGAAACAUUACAUUGCCUAGAGAUGUGGCAUAAUUGUGCUCAUUGAGAAAUGAAAUUCCCAAUUAAUUUUGGAAGAUUGAAAGGCCAGCCAGGGCCAUCCUGACAGCCAGUUACCAGGCAGCUGCUGGUGGUGACAUAUAAGAGUGUAUUUGUCAUCCCCAGGGCUCCAAAGGGAAAGUGGGAUACUAUGACUGGAGUGCUAUAAAACUGUCUGGGUAUUUUGCGUAUUAUUCUUAUUAAGUUAGAGUCCUGUUAGAGCAAAACAUGUUACUAUUUAGAUUUCUGUCUGCUUGGCAGCCUUUGCUUCAUAAAUCUCACAGAAGAAAAUUGGCCCACUGGAAUUGGAUUUUGGAUAUAGCGUUUCUUCAACAUCAAGAAAAUGGCCACACAUUUUUUUCAAAUUGUUUCCCUUGCAAAUAAUUUUUAAACAGCCUUACAAAAAUGUUUUCCUUGCCUCACUCCCCAGUGAGUUAAAAAUGCAAUUCACAGUUGCCAACUGGCAGGAUGGAAAUCGCCUGCGAUUCCAGCAGACGGCAAUGGGAAUGUAUGAGGUGAUUGUUGGGGCGGACAGGCAACUGCUGUUCUUUGUGGGACGCAAAAUGAUCCCUUUUAUUCUUAACUAAUUCCCGAAGCAAAAGUCCUUCCCACCUACAUGUGUGGCCUAAACAAGAGACAGAAGAUGAGUGAUGCGGGAACCCACGAACUGACUGUUUGCUGCUCCGUUUCAGCACUAAUUAAUAUUAAUAGUGUUGUCAGUAAGCUGAAAGCGCAGAAGGGAUCACAUUAUUUAGAGCUUUUACCUGGGCUUAAAAGGGACUUGGGGAAGCGGCUCCAGGUUCUGAAAGGUGGCGGAAGCCCAGUAGCUGCCUCCAGGAGCUCAGGCACAUGCGACUUUGUAUAAAGAAUGAUGUGUGUCAACGCUGUGGGUGUACAGUGAGAUACUUUUCUACUCCAGUUACAUGGCGGUGGAUCAAAUGUUACAAUCCAAGCCCCGGACAGACCUGCAGUCGCACCAGAAACAAGAGCACGUGCUUCAGGUUCUAGAUACAGUGGCUAUGUGUUGAUACCUUGAGGUAUCAGCCAGGAUGCUCCAUAUCUGAGUUCUAAAACAAGUAUGAACUUUAAAGAAGGCAGAAAUUUGGUACCACAUUCCUAUAAUAGUUACUUUUCUGUUGCUGUGAUAAAAUUGUCUGUCAAUAGAAAGCUAGGGAGAGCAUGGUAUCCCCAGACCAUCCUGGCAGGCAUAAGGAAGAUUGAUAACAUUUUUCCACAGCCAUGAAUCAGAGAAGGAGAACAAACAUGUAGUGAGACCAGGCUCAAAGCCAGUCCUAGUGAUGUUCCGCCUCCCCCAAGGCUACACCUCCUAAAGGUUCCGUAAGCUUUGAAAACAGCACUGCUAGCUGAAGACCAAGUGUGUACACACAAGAGCUUAAGAGGACAUUUCUCAUUCAGACCUCAACAAUUCCUAGCGCUUGUGCAGGUUUGUUUUUAAAAUCUGUUUCUUUGCUUUUCCACCCAAGAGAAUCAGUUUUGUAUUUUCUUCUUUCUCCCCUCCAGGCUUUGUGUGCUCUGAUCCAUAGGGGUGUAAUCAGAAGGUGGAAAAGUCUUGGGGCAGGGACUGAUUUUAUUCAUUGAUUAUUCAAUAAACAUUUGAGUAACUAUUGACCCUUGGGCCCCAUGCUGGGCACUUACAAUGCAUUGCUACAUAAAGCAGGCAUGCUUGCUCCCUCAUCUGAAACCAUAUAAUGCUGGGAGAGACAA